rnacentral:hammerhead_ribozyme from 1 species
GUCCAGCUGACGAGUCCCAAACAGGACGAAACACGCGUCCUGGAU